rnacentral:rRNA from 1 species
CCUACGGGAGGCAGCAGUGAGGAAUAUUGGUCAAUGGACGAGAGUCUGAACCAGCCAAGUCGCGUGAAUGAUGACUGCCCUAUGGGUUGUAAACUUCUUUUAUAGAGGAAUAAAACCAGGCUCUUGUACCUUUUUUCAUGUACUUUAUGAAUAAGGAUCGGCUAACUCCGUGCCAGCAGCCGCGGUAAUACGGAGGAUCCGAGCGUUAUCCGGAUUUAUUGGGUUUAAAGGGAGCGUAGAUGGGUUGUUAAGUCAGUUGUGAAAGUUUGCGGCUCAACCGUAAAAUUGCAAUUGAUACUGGCAGUCUUGAGUACAGUUGAGGUAGGCGGAAUUCGUGGUGUAGCGGUGAAAUGCUUAGAGAUGACGAAGAACCCCGAUUGCGAAGGCAGCUUACUAAACUGUGACUGACAUUGAUGCUCGAAAGUGUGGGUAGCAAACAGGAUUAGAUACCCCAGUAGUC